GGGAUGUUCAGCUGCAACAUGACACUUCACCACUAGAUGUCACUAAAUUCUACACACUGCACCUUUAAAACACGGAGGGUGAAGGUGUCCUAAAGGUUCAUACAGCAAAGACUCUUCUCUUCUGUCUCAGUCACAGAGCGUUCACCGUCAUCCCCCCGGACCCCAGGAGGAGGAGGGACAUGCAGAGAAAGGCGGAGGCGGAGCUGGCUGCCCUGGAGGAGCUUCGUCUGAGCAGAGCGAUGGUUUAUGUUUCUAUCAACCCCAGCAGUGUUGGCGGCUGCAUGAGUCUGGAGGAAGUACGACUGAAGCAGCAGCAGGAAAUGAUGCAGGCCAAGGGGAAACAGAAACCGAUGAAGAAACUGGAGAUGGAGCAAACAGCCGUCCUGACGAGCUGAGCGUCUCCUGUCGCCCACAGUUUUAAACUCAGAUCAGAAAUCCACAUGAAACCUGUCUUUCAAAAUAUUCAAAUUACUCCAACAAAGCUGGUGUGUUUUAUCUGACUUCAUAAAAGACGCUAUCAUAUUUAACAUUUUGACAUGUUUUAUACAAAGAUGUUUUAUUCCUGAUAUAUGUAUAUUUUUAUUUCAUGUUAUGUCGAUGCACUUAUUCACAAAAACCUACUUUUUUUUCUGGGAUUGAUUUUACAAAAUGGAAAAAAGAAAAAGAGACGAAACACAAAGAAAUAAAAAUCCAAAGACACCGACUGAAGCAGAACUUUGUUGUGAUGUAUUGUUGUGAUGUAUUUCAUGGACGUCACGCUUUCACCCCUGUCCAUCUGUUGUUUGUUUGUAAACAAUAAAAACGACUGUUCUUUGAAUCUUGGUGGAAGGACGUGGACUUCCUGUUGAUGUAGGUCAGCAAAAUAAACAAAUAAAUACAAAUGUCUGAUUCUG